GACGAACGCUGGCGGCGUGCUUAACACAUGCAAGUCGAACGGAAAGGCCCUGCUUUUGUGGGGUGCUCGAGUGGCGAACGGGUGAGUAACACGUGAGUAACCUGCCCUUGACUUUGAGAUAACUUCAGGAAACUGAGGCUAAUACCGGAUAGGAGCUCCUGCUGCAUGGUGGGGGUUGGAAAGUUUCGGCGGUUGGGGAUGGACUCGCGGCUUAUCAGCUUGUUGGUGGGGUAGUGGCUUACCAAGGCUUUGACGGGUAGCCGGCCUGAGAGGGUGACCGGCCACAUUGGGACUGAGAUACGGCCCAGACUCCUACGGGAGGCAGCAGUGGGGAAUAUUGCACAAUGGGCGGAAGCCUGAUGCAGCAACGCCGCGUGCGGGAUGACGGCCUUCGGGUUGUAAACCACUUUCGCCUGUGACGAAGCGUGAGUGACGGUAAUGGGUAAAGAAGCACCGGCUAACUACGUG
rnacentral:rRNA from 1 species